rnacentral:rRNA from 1 species
AUUGAACGCUGGCGGAAUGCUUUACACAUGCAAGUCGAACGGCAGCACGGGUGCUUGCACCUGGUGGCGAGUGGCGAACGGGUGAGUAAUACAUCGGAACGUACCCAGUCGUGGGGGAUAACGUAGCGAAAGUUACGCUAAUACCGCAUACGUCCUGAGGGAGAAAGCGGGGGACCGUAAGGCCUCGCGCGCUUGGAGCGGCCGAUGGCGGAUUAGCUAGUUGGUGGGGUAAAGGCCUACCAAGGCGACGAUCCGUAGCGGGUCUGAGAGGACGGCCCGCCACACUGGAACUGAGACACGGUCCAGACUCCUACGGGAGGCAGCAGUGGGGAAUUUUGGACAAUGGGCGAAAGCCUGAUCCAGCCAUUCCGCGUGAGUGAAGAAGGCCUUCGGGUUGUAAAGCACUUUCGGCAGGGAAGAAACGGCUUGGGAUAAUACCCCGGGCUAAUGACGGUACCUGAAGAAGAAGCACCGGCUAACUACGUGCCAGCAGCCGCCGUAA